CCGUGAUUACUGUAAAAAGUGUAUGAAUAAAAGCUUGCCAAGCCGCUAACCUUACCGAUUAGAUCCCGCUUGAACCCGCUUGAACCUGUGCAACUGAUACGUUGGGCACAGCAUCUGCCUUAUACCUCAUUCCGCAUCGCCCACCCAAACCAGAGGCUUGCCUUUCGAUAUUUCAGAAAUUAGAUAAUGAUCUAUUUUUGUGGUAAAAUUACUGGUAACUUCAAAAUCCGGUCUUCCACAAAAUCUGGUAUGAGUACAGAAACAGUAGCACAUCAUAGCACUGCUAAACAAUCUCUACUUCUGAUAUUGCUCGUUACUUGGAGUACUUUGUACAAAUGAACCAAUUCGUACUUGUCUAAAAAAAACAAUCAUUACAAUAGUAGGAGAAAAAUAGGCACCAAAUCAAAUAAAUGGACAAGACCUCGAACCUCAGUUGAUAACUAGAUAGAUCGCCAGACCAAACCAGCAUAAAAUUUAUGGACAAAAGAGCGAAAAGAUAUAUGCAGCAAUGACAACACUUUUCACAAAAGCAUCAUACAAGCGCAGAGUCUUCCUCGGCCGCUGCAUAUUAUAAGUGAGCGGCAUCACCUAGCUCUCUUAAGAAAUCUUCUGUAUCUCUGUUUGUGGGACCUAUCAAGCAGCAGCAUUAGUCCAACAUAGCUCCCGCACAAGCCAAAUGGGUACCUGCGAACGAUGCCCAGCAAUGGUUACAUACACAAAGAUACUCCCUCCAUCCCAAAAUAAGUGUCCCAGCUUUAGUAUAACUUUAGUAAGUGUCACUAAAGUUAUACUAAAGCUGACACACUUAUUUUGGGACUGAGGGAGUACAAGGUAACUGUUAACAAAUUGAGCAAGAUUUGACAACUCACUUGAUGCGAUCUAAUUUCUUUUGCCGGGAAAAGACAGAUACAAUCCACUGGAUGAAACAGAAAAGAAGCAAAUCAGCAAAGAAACUAACGAU
rnacentral:lncRNA from 1 species